rnacentral:rRNA from 1 species
AGUGAACGCUGGCGGUAGGCCUAACACAUGCAAGUCGAACGGCAGCACAGUAAGAGCUUGCUCUUACGGGUGGCGAGUGGCGGACGGGUGAGGAAUACAUCGGAAUCUACUUUUUCGUGGGGGAUAACGUAGGGAAACUUACGCUAAUACCGCAUACGACCUACGGGUGAAAGCAGGGGAUCUUCGGACCUUGCGCGAUUGAAUGAGCCGAUGUCGGAUUAGCUAGUUGGCGGGGUAAAGGCCCACCAAGGCGACGAUCCGUAGCUGGUCUGAGAGGAUGAUCAGGCACACUGGAACUGAGACACGGUCCAGACUCCGACGGGAGGCAGCAGUGGGGAAUAUUGGACAAUGGGCGCAAGCCUGAUCCAGCCAUACCGCGUGGGUGAAGAAGGCCUUCGGGUUGUAAAGCCCUUUUGUUGGGAAAGAAAAGCAGCAGGUUAAUACCCCGCUGUUCUGACGGUACCCAAAGAAUAAGCAACGGCUAACUUCGUG